UACAGAGGGUGCGAGCGUUAAUCGGAAUUACUGGGCGUAAAGCGUGCGUAGACGGUUUCGUAAGUCGGGUGUGAAAUCCCCGGGCUCAACCUGGGAAUUGCAUUCGAAACUGCGAGGCUAGGGUACGGAAGAGGGAAGCGGAAUUUCUGGUGUAGCGGUGAAAUGCGUAGAUAUCAGAAGGAACAUCAGUGGCGAAAGCGGCUUCCUGGUCCAGCACCGACGUUCAGGCACGAAAGCGUGGGGAGCAAACAGG
rnacentral:rRNA from 1 species